rnacentral:rRNA from 1 species
AUGAACGCUAGCGGCAGGCUUAACACAUGCAAGUCGAGGGGCAGCGGGGAGUAGCGAUACUCCGCCGGCGACCGGCGCACGGGUGCGUAACGCGUAUGCAACCUACCUUUAACAGGGGCAUAACACUGAGAAAUUGGUACUAAUUCCCCAUAACAUUCGAGAAGGCAUCUUCUUGGGUUAAAAACUCCGGUGGUUAAAGAUGGGCAUGCGUUGUAUUAGCUAGUUGGUGAGGUAACGGCUCACCAAGGCGACGAUACAUAGGGGGACUGAGAGGUUAACCCCCCACAUUGGUACUGAGACACGGACCAAACUCCUACGGGAGGCAGCAGUGAGGAAUAUUGGUCAAUGGACGCAAGUCUGAACCAGCCAUGCCGCGUGCAGGAAGACGGCUCUAUGAGUUGUAAACUGCUUUUGUACUAGGGUAAACGCUCUUACGUGUAGGAGCCUGAAAGUAUAGUACGAAUAAGGAUCGGCUAACUCCGUGCCAGCAGCCGCGGUAAUACGGAGGAUCCAAGCGUUAUCCGGAUUUAUUGGGUUUAAAGGGUGCGUAGGCGGUUUGAUAAGUUAGAGGUGAAAUACCGGGGCUCAACUCCGGAACUGCCUCUAAUACUGUUGAACUAGAGAGUAGUUGCGGUAGGCGGAAUGUAUGGUGUAGCGGUGAAAUGCUUAGAGAUCAUACAGAACACCGAUUGCGAAGGCAGCUUACCAAACUAUAUCUGACGUUGAGGCACGAAAGCGUGGGGAGCAAACAGGAUUAGAUACCCUGGUAGUCCACGCAGUAAACGAUGAUAACUCGUUGUCGGCGAUACACAGUCGGUGACUAAGCGAAAGCGAUAAGUUAUCCACCUGGGGAGUACGUUCGCAAGAAUGAAACUCAAAGGAAUUGACGGGGGCCCGCACAAGCGGUGGAGUAUGUGGUUUAAUUCGAAGCAACGCGAAGAACCUUACCAGGUCUUGACAUCCGAUGCAUAGCACAGAGAUGUGUGAAAUCCUUCGGGACAUCGAGACAGGUGGUGCAUGGUUGUCGUCAGCUCGUGUCGUGAGAUGUUGGGUUAAGUCCCGCAACGAGCGCAACCCUUAUUGCCAGUUACUACGUUAAGAGGACUCUGGCGAGACUGCCGUUGACAAAACGGAGGAAGGUGGGGAUGACGUCAAAUCAUCAUGCCCUUUAUGUCCUGGGCUACACACGUACUACAAUGGCUAUAACAAAGAGAAGCGAGACCGCGAGGUGGAGCAAAACUCAAAAAAGUAGUCUCAGUUCGGAUUGUAGACUGAAAUUCGUCUACAUGAAGCUGGAAUUGCUAGUAAUGGCAGGUCAGCAUACUGCCGUGAAUACGUUCCCGGGCCUUGUACACACCGCCCGUCACACCAUGAGAGUUGGGGAUACCCGAAGCCUGUGAGCCAACAUAUCUAUGAGGCAGCAGUCGAAGGUAGAAUCAAUGAUUGGGGUG